UACAGAGGGGGCAAGCGUUGUUCGGAAUUACUGGGCGUAAAGGGCGCGUAGGUGGCCUUCUAAGUUGAACGUGAAAUCCCUGGGCUCAACCCAGGAACUGCGUCCAAGACUGGGAGGCUUGAAUCCGGGAGAGGGAUGCGGAAUUCCAGGUGUAGCGGUGAAAUGCGUAGAUAUCAUUUGGAACGCCAAUGGUGAAAACAGGUAGCUGGGGCUGUGCUGACACUGAGACACGAAAGCCAGGGGAGCAAACGGG
rnacentral:rRNA from 1 species